AAUAAGAUAGGAUAAGUUUAGUCUGAGAGGUUCAUAACCUCUAGGUGGGUGAUUCUCUUGUUG
rnacentral:tRNA from 1 species